rnacentral:rRNA from 1 species
GAUGAACGCUGGCGGCGUGCCUAAUACAUGCAAGUCGAGCGAACAGACGAGGAGCUUGCUCCUCUGACGUUAGCGGCGGACGGGUGAGUAACACGUGGAUAACCUACCUAUAAGACUGGGAUAACUUCGGGAAACCGGAGCUAAUACCGGAUAAUAUAUUGAACCGCAUGGUUCAAUAGUGAAAGACGGUUUUGCUGUCACUUAUAGAUGGAUCCGCGCCGCAUUAGCUAGUUGGUAAGGUAACGGCUACCAAGGGAACGAUGCGUAGCCGACCUGAGAGGGUGAUCGGACACACUGGAACUGAGACACGGUCCAGACUCCUACGGGAGGCAGCAGUAGGGAAUCUUCCGCAAUGGGCGAAAGCCUGACGGAGCAACGCCGCGUGAGUGAUGAAGGUCUUCGGAUCGUAAAACUCUGUUAUUAGGGAAGAACAAAUGUGUAAGUAACUAUGCACGUCUUGACGGUACCUAAUCAGAAAGCCACGGCUAACUACGUG